rnacentral:tRNA from 1 species
GUCCCCGUAGCUCAGCCGGAUAGAGCACCGGUUUCCUAAACCGGGGGUCGCAGGUUCGAAUCCUGCCGGGGACG